rnacentral:piRNA from 1 species
UAGGAACCAAAAAAAGAACGGAAGACU